rnacentral:hammerhead_ribozyme from 1 species
AUCCGGCUGACGAGUACCAAAUAGGACGAAAUGCUCGUCUUGAAU